GAUGAACGCUAGCGGCGGGCUUAAUACAUGCAAGUCGAGGGGCAGCACAGGUAGCAAUACUGGGUGGCGACCGGCAAACGGGUGCGGAACACGUACACAACUUACCUUAGAGUGGGGGAUAGCGCAGGGACACUUGGAUUAAUACCCCAUAAAACAGGGGGCCCGCAUGGGCAUAUUGUUAAAGAUUUAUCGCUUUAAGAUGGGUGUGCGUAUGAUUAGGUAGUUGGUAGGGUAAAGGCAUACCAAGCCGACGAUCAUUAACUGGUGUGAGAGCACGACCCGUCACACGGGAACUGAGACACGGGCCCGACUCCUACGGGAGGCAGCAGUAAGGAAUAUUGGUCAAUGGACGGAAGUCUGAACCAGCCAUGCCGCGUGAAGGAUGAAGGUCCUCUGGAUUGUAAACUUCUUUUAUAGGGGGCGAAAAAGGGCCAUUCUUGGUCAACUGACGGUACCCUAUGAAUAAGCACCGGCUAACUCCGUGCCAGCAGCCGCCGUAACAC
rnacentral:rRNA from 1 species